GGCUUACUAGCUCAGUGGUAGAGCAUUGCUCUCGUAAAGCAGGGGUCAAGGGUUCGAUUCUCUUGUAAGCCU